GACGUAGGGGGCCAGCGUUGCUCGGAAUUACUGGGCGUAAAGGGUUCGUAGGCGGUGUGGCAAGUCGGGAGUGAAAUCUCUGGGCUUAACUCAGAGGCUGCUUCCAAAACUGCCGUGCUAGAGUGCGGGAGAGGCGAGUGGAAUUGCAGGUGUAGAGGUGAAAUGCGUAGAUAUCAAGCGGAACACCGGUGGCGAAGGCGGCCCUCUGGACAGUGACUGACGCUGAGACGCGAAAGCGUGGGGAGCAAACAGG
rnacentral:rRNA from 1 species